AGUGUGGGAUGAGUCACCGAAUGUUACCGGGAGUCCCGGUUAUCCCAAAAAGGGUUGUUUCCUGUUGCGUGGUGAGGCCAAUGCACGAAACCGAAAGGGAGUGUGUCAAGCAGUGCAGGCUGUAUUCAAUGGCUAUGGAAUUGGAAGAUCUGAAAUCAACUUAGCUUGUGAGAGCUGGGAAGUUUCAGAGUCGUUGUCAUGGCGACAUGUUGUUUAGCAUGAGAACAGGAUGAUGAUAAAGCCAGAGGCUCUUCAGAGGCGCCAUCUUGGAUUUCGCCAGCUUCAGCUGGUUUCGUCCUAAGAAGGAACUUCGAAACACAGGCAUUCUUUUUCCUGAAAAUAAGCAGAGUUACAGCUGAGUAGGAAUUUAGCUCUGUCCCAUAUGCUAUCGCAUUGGGCAGCAAAAGCAGGGUGGGGUCCAGCGAAAUCAGCAGGCACUGCAAUGAGUAACAUACCCAGCCACGUUUAUGCAGCAUUUUUACGAAAAUGAAACCAUACUACCUGUAAAGGAAGAUAUGCUAACAAACAACAAAACUGGCAGGAACCAAGAUUCCUACUGACACUACCCUUAGUUUUAAUUUUCCCUGACAACAAAUGAGGUUAACAGAGCAUAAUUAUCUACCGUGACCCCUUCAAAAAGACAGGCUGUAUACAUUUGCACUAAGAGAAGAAAUCGUGUAAUGUCAGCAAAUUUCCCCCACUUAAAGCUUCUCUAUUUAAAAAGCUUCACGCACACAUGCACGCAUAUGUCUUCAAGAUGACCACAAUUUAUUUUGCAGUCAUUCUUUGCACCAGUUCCCAAUUUUUCCCACUAGCUUGCAAGCUCCGUGACUCGAGGAGACCGGGGGAUCAGAGUUUGUUUUUGCGGAGAAGUGAGUCCUUUAUGCCCCAAAUAGUGACUGACAUAGAGAAGGUACUCAGUAAACACUUUUUAAAGGAAUGCCUGCCUUGUUUUAACCUGAAGUGACUCUUCCUUAGCUAAGAGAGCCAGACGGACUCCAUCGUGACUCCUUCACUCGCAGCCCCUUACCCACCCCCUUCCUCAAGGACUUAACUUGUGCAAGCUGACUCCCAGCACAUCAAGAAUGCAAUUAACUGAUAAGAUACUGUGGCAAGCUAUAUCCGCAGUUCCCAGGAAUUCGCCCGGUUAAUAGCACCCAGAGCCCCUGCGUUUGUGUCCGGUUGAUAACGCCCAAAGCCCGGCGUCCAUCACCUUAGGAUAGACUUAAAGCCUCUGCACCUGGAACUGUUUACUUUCCUGUAACCGUUUAUCCUUUUAACUUUUUGCCUACUUUACUUCUGUAAGAUUGUUUCAACUAGACUCCCCCUCUCCCCUGUCUAAACCAAAGUAUAAAAGAAAAUCUAGCUCCUUCUUCGGGGCCAAGAGAAUUUCGAGCGCUAGCUGUCUCUCGGCUGCCGGCUAAUAAAGGACUCCUGAAUUCGUCUCAGAGUGUGGCGUUUCUCUGUAACUCGCUCGGUUACAACACUAGGUUAAUCUUUUUCCUUUAACUGUUUGUUUAAAAUAUAUUAUGUUUAAGACCUUCUAACUGGUCAGCCUCCAAGAUAGUAUUGUGCUGGGCUUGCUUUAUUCUGGUUUGGUUUCCAUGAUCCCAGUUCAUGUGUUACCUGCUUCUCUUUUGAAUUCACAAUGAUACACAACUUUUAAUUUGUUAGAACACAAACAUAAGGAAUUUUUUUUUCCAUUUUAAUGUGAGAUAUGACAGAGGCA
rnacentral:lncRNA from 1 species